rnacentral:rRNA from 1 species
AAAAUGACUCUCGGCAACGGAUAUCUCGGCUCUCGCAUCGAUGAAGAACGUAGCGAAAUGCGAUACUUGGUGUGAAUUGCAGAAUCCCGUGAACCAUCGAGUCUUUGAACGCAAGUUGCGCCCGAAGCCAUUCGGUUGAGGGCACGUCUGCCUGGGUGUCACAC